GCGCGUUGUGACAGCAUGUUGAAUACAUCAGUUCCCAAAGGAUCACUGAAGUUAAGCACUGUUGUGCAUGGUUGGGAUUCGGAUGGGAGAACAUCUGAGGAAUCGCGUGCUGCUAGUG
rfam:Asian citrus Psyllid, Diaphorina citri - Florida Strain, whole genome shotgun sequence.